AACUUUCGACAAUGGAUCACUUGGCUCUCGCAUCGAUGUAGAACGCAGCGAAAUGCGAUACGUAAUGUGAAUUGCAGAAUUCAGUGAAUCAUCGAAUCUUUGAACGCACCUUGCGCCCCUUGGAAUUCCGAGGGGCACACCCGUUUGAGUGUCGUGAACAUCCUUCAACCUUUCUUGGUUUCUUGACCGGGGAAGGCUUGGACUUUGGGGGUCUUUCAUUGCUGGCCUCUUUGAAGCCAGCUCCUCCUAAAUGGAUUAGUGUGGUCUGCUUUGCCGAUCCUUGACGUGAUAAGAUGUUUCUACGUCUUGGGUUUCGCACUGUCGCUUUAGACCCCGCUUCUAACCGUCUUGCAUUCAAGACAGAGUUUUAAACCUUGACCUCAAAUCGGGUGAGACUACCCGCUGAACUUAAGCAUAUCAAUAAGCGGAGGCU
rnacentral:misc_RNA from 1 species